CCUACGGGGGGCAGCAGUGGGGAAUAUUGCACAAUGGGCGCAAGCCUGAUGCAGCAACGCCGCGUGGGGGACAACGGCCUUCGGGUUGUAAACCUCUUUUGGCAGGGAAGAAGCGAAAGUGACGGUACCUGCAGAAAAAGCACCGGCUAACUACGUGCCAGCAGCCGCGGUAAUACGUAGGGUGCAAGCGUUGUCCGGAAUUAUUGGGCGUAAAGAGCUCGUAGGCGGUGUGUCACGUCUGCUGUGAAAAUCCAAGGCUCAACCUUGGACUUGCAGUGGGUACGGGCACACUCGAGUGCGGUAGGGGAGAUUGGAAUUCCUGGUGUAGCGGUGGAAUGCGCAGAUAUCAGGAGGAACACCGAUGGCGAAGGCAGAUCUCUGGGCCGUAACUGACGCUGAGGAGCGAAAGCGUGGGGAGCGAACAGGAUUAGAUACCCCCGUAGUC
rnacentral:rRNA from 1 species